CAGCAGCCGCGGUAAUACGUAGGUCCCGAGCGUUGUCCGGAUUUAUUGGGCGUAAAGCGAGCGCAGGCGGUUAGAUAAGUCUGAAGUUAAAGGCUGUGGCUUAACCAUAGUACGCUUUGGAAACUGUUUAACUUGAGUGCAGAAGGGGAGAGUGGAAUUCCAUGUGUAGCGGUGAAAUGCGUAGAUAUAUGGAGGAACACCGGUGGCGAAAGCGGCUCUCUGGUCUGUAACUGACGCUGAGGCUCGAAAGCGUGGGGAGCAAACAGGAUUAGAUACCCCGGUAGUCCCUGUCUCUUAUACA
rnacentral:rRNA from 1 species